UCCCUGGUGGUUCAGUGGUUAACACUGUGUACUUUCAAUGCAGGGGGCUCAGGUUUGAUCCCUGAUCAGAGAA
rnacentral:tRNA from 1 species